rnacentral:rRNA from 1 species
ACGUAGGAUGCAAGCGUUAUCCGGAUUUAUUGGGCGUAAAGCGUACGUAGGCGGUUACUUAAGUUUGGGGUUAAAGACCAAGGCUCAACCUUGGGAGUGCCCUGAAUACUGGGUGACUGGAGGACGGCAGAGGAAAGUGGAAUUCCCAGUGUAGCGGUGAAAUGCGUAGAUAUUGGGAAGAACACCGGAGGCGAAGGCGGGUUGCUGGGCCGUCACUGACGCUGAGGCGCGAAAGCCAGGGGAGCAAACGGGA